GAUGAACGCUGGCGGCGUGCCUAAUACAUGCAAGUCGAGCGAACAGACGAGGAGCUUGCUCCUCUGACGUUAGCGGCGGACGGGUGAGUAACACGUGGAUAACCUACCUAUAAGACUGGGAUAACUUCGGGAAACCGGAGCUAAUACCGGAUAAUAUAUUGAACCGCAUGGUUCAAUAGUGAAAGACGGUUUUGCUGUCACUUAUAGCUGGAUCGGCGCCGCAUUAGCUAGUUGGUAAGGUACCGGCUUACCAAGGCAACGGUGCGUAGCCGACCUGAGAGGGGGAUCGGGCACUGGGGAGGUGAGCGGCGAUACAGGCUCCGAGGGAAGGCCGAGGUAGGUACGGGACGCAACGGGCGAAAGCCUGACGGAGCAACGCCGAGUGAGUGGUGAAGGUCUUCGGAUCGUAAAACUCUGUUAUGAGGGAAGAACAAAUGUGUAAGUAACUAUGCACGUCUUGACGGUACCGAGUCAGAAAGCCACGGCUAACUACGUG
rnacentral:rRNA from 1 species